CGCGUAGGCGGCCGACCAAGUCGGGUGUGAAAGCCCGGGGCUCAACCCCGGAAUUGCACUCGAGACUGGUUGGCUCGAGGACGGGAGAGGAUGGUGGAAUUCCCAGUGUAGAGGUGAAAUUCGUAGAUAUUGGGAAGAACACCGGUGGCGAAGGCGGCCAUCUGGACCGUUUCUGACGCUGAGGCGCGAAAGCGUGGGGAGCAAACAGGAUUAGAUACCCUGGUAGUCCACGCCGUAAACGAUGAGUGCUAGACGUUGGGGGGACCUAGUCUCUCGGUGUCGCAGCUAACGCAUUAAGCACUCCGCCUGGGGAGUACGGCCGCAAGGUUAAA
rnacentral:rRNA from 1 species